rnacentral:lncRNA from 1 species
UUGUUCUGUUCGGCUUCUUUAUUUUGCAUUUCCAAUUUCCCCACUUGCUUUAGAUAUUGUUCGGUCUUCAUGUUUUGUUCAUUUAUUUCGAUGCUCUCAAUUAUGUUUGGUUGUAUUUAAUUUCCAGUUUAAAUUUAGUUAAUUUCUAUUCACAAAAACUUUUUACCAAACCCCCCCUCCAACUUCGUGUCUGACCUAAUUCUCGAACCACAUUUAGUCCUUGAGAGACGACCUAGGAGUCACUUCCUAGUCUAUACUGCAUUCUUAAUAGGCAAUCAAAUUUGUAUGGGCCGCGACACCCAUCAAAUUUUGGCGCCGUUGCCGGGGACCAACGGUUCGAUUUUAGGUCUUUUGUUGUGUUAGUGUGUG